GCCUGCUGAACCUGGUCCUUCACGUGGGAGGGCAGCCCCUGGAUGCUGGACCCCAGCGAGGCACAGGUGUUCUGCAGCUGCUGGGCAAUGUCGCGGAACAUGGUAUCUCCCCUAGAGAAAUGGAGACACGCGACCAUACACGGGCUGGGGCUGGUCACAGGACGUUAUCCACAGGAGGCAAAAGUGGAGACAGUCCAGAAGCCCAUCAACUUGUAAACGGACGUUUUUCAGGUUUUUUUAAGCGGACGUCUGGAAGAACUUUCCAGGCAGGAGCUGUGUGGUGGGGGAGACGGAAGUGUAAAUGCGUGCAUCGGGACCUUAACACCCCACCCCCACCACAGGGGGGGAAGAGAGCAGGCUGGGAGGCAGGACUUUGCCCUCAACCCGCCAUCAGAGCGCUCGGGAGACUUGAACCUGACAGGGAGGUGCCGACCAGAGUCAACACCCACAUCUCGCGGUUGCCACGGUCAGCGGUGGGGGAGAAGGGAGAGGGAGGCGGAGGUAGGUGGUUUGGGUCUGAAUGCUAACAAUUUUGCACCUGCAGAGACAGCAGGUGAUAUCUUCACAAAUGCCAUUUUUGAACGGUUUACUAUGUGCUUUAUGUAGCAACUCAAUUUCUUUUAUAGACUAUGUAACUCACGGACCAGAAAAUGCACCCUUUUAAGUAUGUA